AUGUUUUUAACGGUGAUCUCCAGGUAUCCAUACAAAGCUCCUUACUAAAAAAGAAAGGAACAUAUGAUCAGGAUUACGGAUGACACUGUUCACAUUUUGUUUGUCGGACUAUAUAUGUCUUAAGGACAAUUAACCAUCUCCGUAUCCAUACGAUGAACCGUCAACAUGAAAAGUAAGUCUGGCUGUUUUAUACUUACAACUAUUACAACUGAAACAUACUGUAUCUAACCACUGCACUGAAAGCUACGCAUUCAGUAAAGUUUGAGGAUGUUCCACGCUCUUGAACAGCUAUAGAUACAUUUCAAUCAUAAUCUUUAAACAGGAUUUAUGCGUGCACAAAACCCUUAUGUAACUCAAGGGACCA